GAAAUUUUAAGUUAAAAAAACUAUUAAUUUUCAAAAUUAAAAUUAUCAACAAAAUUUUAAAUUUCA
rnacentral:tRNA from 1 species